GACCGAUUCCAAGAUUCCAGAUGCCCAAUAUGGCUAUGAGAAAGGAUUAACGAUCGCACUUGCAGCGCUGUCGGGAGCGAAUCGUGUCUG
rnacentral:ncRNA from 1 species